rnacentral:lncRNA from 1 species
CCAGCAACUUCUUUCUUGCAAACCUCGGCCAAAUCAUUUCAAACCAAUGCACAUAUCAUUUGUGUUCUUCUGGUUACACGGUGUUCAUCUUGUCGACUUUGAACUAUAUUCAACAAAAGGGGUCAAUCUUUGUGGCCAUUUUGCUUCUGGCUGUCUUAUGCAUGGGCUAGAGAAGGCUAUCAAAAGGGAGAAAAAUACUCAAUGUUUUGGGGCUAGAGAAGGCCACCAAAGGGAGAGAGAGGCUUCUUUUUUUUUUUUGAGAGAAAAUACUCGAGGCUUUUCGUUUGUAUCUCCAGGCUGAACAGGUCCUGUGGAGGCCAAUCUAUAAUAAAUCUCUCACCUACAGUAUGAAUUAUGAAAUUGUCUGCUUGGAUCACUUCUAUUAUAUGUGAAGUACUGAAUCAUUUGUUCCAUGUGGUCAAACUGUUGUCUCAAGAAUAUGAUCUUUGGGG